UUAAGAUGGCUGAGAUUAGGCGUUAAAUUGUAAAUUUAUUUUACGAGAUUAUUCUCUCUUAACA
rnacentral:tRNA from 1 species